ensembl:lncRNA
AGCGAAGUGACUGAAAAGUGAUGAAAGUUUGUCACCAGUCUAGGUUAGAUCCUUGGACUAUCGCUGCAUGGGCAGUGUUGUAGCGGAUUCCCCUCUCAUGCAGCUGUGCAGACUUACUGAGGUGGGGUUUAGGAGCGUGCUGAAUGGAAACUAUUUAAUUCUGAUUUUGUCGUUUUGAUUUCACCAGGGUGGUUGUAGAGGAAAGUGCCCCACUCUCAAUGGAAGACAAUGGAGUCAGAUGAAGGGUAUUUCACCAUUGAUGUGACCACCUAUGAGCUGCUCUUUGGAAUGUUCCUUCAGCCCUCCUGUGCUACUGCAUUCUGGGAGUCUGGGAGCACUCUAGCAAAGAUCCUCCUUAGUUUCCUUUGGCUGCGUGGCUGCAUUGGGGGUUGUGAGGCCCCUCCGGCUAAACCAGCCGAGCAGCUUCUCCCUCCUCUCCUCCUCCAGCUGGUCUCUCUCUGCUGGGUUCAGAGCCUCAAAUCUCCCAGGCUGCAGGGUCUGCUGGGCAUUGCUUCGCACUCGCGGCUGGUACUUAUUCCAGUCCAGUCUUGGGCGAGACACAGGCCUCACUCGGUCUCCAUCACCGAGCUGGUGAGAUGGGCCCCUCCCGUCCCACUCGGCCAGCUGAGGUGUCCCAUUGCCGAUAGAUGACUGCUUUUGGUCUGUGGAUAGAGAAGAAAUGAUGACUCAAAUUAGCAAGUGUAACAACAUAAACCUGCAGGCGUCCACUAUAACUCCUUUAGGAUGUUAAGCCAUCUGAAAAUGUUGAACUCACCACAGUCCUCAUUGCUGAACUCUUGGGACAAUUUCACCAGCGAAGUUGCCAAGUCAUCUGCAUCGUCAGCUGUUGUGAGGCCCCUCCGGCUAAACCAGCCAAGCAACCUCUCCCUCCUCUCCUCCUCCAGCCGGUCUCUCUCUGCUGGGGUCAGAGCCUCAAAUCUCCCAGGCUGCAGGGUCUGCUGGGCAUUGCUUCGCAUUCGCGGCUGGUACCUAUUCCAGUCCAACCUCGGACGAAACACAGGCCUUGUAUUUAGGGGGGUCUUUGUCUCCAGAGACUUAAUGUUAGCAUCUGCGCUAGAAUUGGCCAUGUCCAGAGACACCACCACAACUGCUACACUAGCACCUCCGUCCAUUCUCUCUCCAGUUCUCUCCUUCCCCUCAUCCAGAGACAUAUCCUUCAUCUCAGCACGCUGCACCUCAGGGAUGGCCAUCACAAGGUUCUUCAACCUCGUUU